rnacentral:rRNA from 1 species
AUUGAACGCUGGCGGCAUGCCUUACACACGCAAGUCGAACGGCAGCACGGGAGCAAUCCUGGUGGCGAGUGGCGAACGGGUGAGUAAAGUAUCGGAACGUGCCCAGUCGUGGGGGAUAACGUAGCGAAAGUUACGCUAAUACCGCAUACGAUCUAUGGAUGAAAGCGGGGGAUCGCAAGAACUCGCGCGAGUGGAGCGGCCGAUAUCAGAUGAGGUAGUUGGUGGGGUAAAGGCUCACCAAGCCGACGAUCUGUAGCUGGUCUGAGAGGACGACCAGCCACACUGGGACUGAGACACGGCCCAGACUCCUACGGGAGGCAGCAGUGGGGAAUUUUGGACAAUGGGCGCAAGCCUGAUCCAGCCAUGCCGCGUGCAGGAUGAAGGCCUUCGGGUUGUAAACUGCUUUUGUACGGAACGAAAAGGUUUGACUUAAUACGUUGGACUCAUGUCGGUACCGUAAGAAUAAGCACCGGCUAACUACGUGCCAGCCGCCGCAGUAA